rnacentral:rRNA from 1 species
AUGAAUAUUUUGUGUUUGAACUGUCGCGGAAUUGGGCAGCCGGAGACAGUUCGUGAAAUAUGUGACCUCAUUAGGUUACAUCGCCCUGCCUUAGUUUUUCUCUCGGAGACUAAGGUGUCAGACAAGAGAGCGCAGGAUUUGAAGCUUCGUUUGGGUUUCAGCAAUGCUUUCAGAGUUAAAGCAAGGGGGCUGAGUGGUGGCCUAGUUCUUUACUGGAAUAAUGAGUCUCUCGUGUCCCUAAAGUCUUUCAGCAAUUCCCACAUUGAUGUGUUUGUGCGGAAUGAGGAUACAUGA